CCGCCCACUUCAGCCUCCCAAAGUGAUGGGAUUACAGCUGUGAGCCACCGUGCCUGGCCCCUUACUGUUUCUUUAUACAUCAUUGUGAUUCCAACAGUUUCUGAGUCUCAAAGAUAUGCUCCCAUGUAGCCUCAUACAACAGCAUAGGGCACUUGCAUGUUCCAAAAAACUUAAAUGCAAUAAAAGCAAAUGGUGCCUACCCUCCCCAUGGGGUCUCUGUAUUUCCCAGGCUCUGAAAUACACUGACUGAGAGAAAUGUGCGAACUUCAUACCUGGUCUGAGAUUUACCCUGAGAUGACUCUUGCCUAGAAAAGAAAAAGAGUUUUCUCUUCAGCAUCUCUGGGAUUAGAACUAUUAGCAAACUUAUAAUUUUCUUUCCUCACUUACUGAGCUCUAGUAUUAUCUUGAUUGCAAAGAAAGCAUCCAGACAACUUCCCAUUUCCUCCUUGCUUCACCCCGUGAACACAACUGCUUCUCUUCAGCAGCCCCAAAUGGAAAUUAUUCAGUGUCUUAUGUGAAAUUGAAAAUAUUUUUAAAAAGACAAUUGCAAUGUUAGUGUAUUGUGGAUGAUACUCUACAAGAAAAGCCUGAGCAAUGUUGGUUUAUCCAAAACUACAAAACCAGCUCCCUAUUUUCCAUGCUUGAGGUGUUAAAUGUAAACUCUCACUCAGAGCAGACACCAGCUGGAAUGCUCUGAGCCACGCAGAAUCCCAGAAAUGUCUCGAUUAAGGUGAUUGAACUGCAUCAAAUCCCAUCACUAGUAAGGGGCAGCAACCCUGUACCAGCAGGGCAAGGUCUCAGAGCAGAUACUCAAUGGACAAUCAAUUCACCAAAACUUUCUUCUGAAGGUUCCCUCAACUUAGUUAUCAACAGGUUUUCAUUUAUUCUCUAAAGAAAUCAGAAUUAAUAUUGAGAAGAUAUUAAGUGAAGUAAUAUAGAAAAUCCAGGACAGUGAUUGGCAUUUAGGAAAAAGACGUUUGUCUUGUAAUAUUAAAGUUUCUAGCUACAAUUUUCACAAAGCAUGCCUCUUUGCUUUCUCUAGGAGUGUCACAGCCACAGAGGGGCACAUCAACCUGAUACAAGAGAAAUGGAGCGAGGAGAGGUGACUGUCUCAGGGGAGUGAUAGUCUUUCUGGGGAGGAAUUCUCAAACCCAAGUCCUUGUUUUGUUUUGCUUUUCCUUGGCAAUGAGAUUAUCUUGGAGGUAAAAUUGUGUAAAUGUGGACAACUGAGUAAAGGCAAACUACACAGAGAGUAGUGGAAAUAAGGAAUGGGAGAGGUGGAAAAGUAAAAGUAAACACAUGCUAAUGAUUCAGUGUUAAUUUUGUCAGGUUAAAUCACAGAAUUUGGAAAGAAAAAGGGCAUCCAACAGCCUUAAAGAUGAAGAAAUGGAAGCUCCAGAGUUGAAGAAAUGUGUCUUCACUCCCACAAGUAAUCUUGAAGUUCCGAGCCACCAUGAGAGUUUUCCUGACACUGAGGUAAUUUCCUACCAUGUUGACACCACCUUGCGCCAGUGUUCAAGACCAUCACAGCUAUGAACCUUGUUGGCUUGUAUCAGAUGCCUGCUGGGACCUUGGCUGCCCAUAGUGCUCUCUAAAGACUCCAGCUUUCCAUAACUCCUACAGUUUUAAGUUCAAGGAAUGAUGAAGAGGACGCCAAUGUACGGAUUUGAUUUACCAAAUCAGGCCUGUACAGCAGCUGAAUCAACCUAUGGGAAAAUUUUGGCUCUCUUUAACAUUCUAAUUUUUGAGAACACCAUUGCAAAUACAUGAUUUCCAAAAUAAUAACAAUGCACUUAAUUAAUCACAUUAUAGAUCAUCAUAUAAAAAUAAAUACCUAAAUAGAAAUACAAUUUAUUUUUUUCUUAAAUUCCAAAUUGCAUAGAGCUGCCUCCUCUGCAGUUUUCCAUCACUGCCUCCUUCUCAGACUUCUCCUUUUGUUUUUUCAUUUCUUUGUACAGACUCCAGUCAUUUGUUUAAAUAUUCAUACUCAACCAGAAUACGUUUCCUAAUGUGGGAAUCAUUGCUUAUUCACAGGCACAGCCCUUGACAUCCUGAAAACAUGUAGUAAUGAUUUUUGGAAUAAAGGUUUGACACUUCUACAUUUACAUGUAAAUGGAGUUAAAAAAUUCUAGGUUGAGAAUAAGAAUACUAUAAAAAUUUUGAUCUAAAAUGGAUGUUAGAGAUAACCCAGCGCAACCAGUUGCUCUUACAAUUGAGGAAACUGAGGUCAAGAAUGAGUGAGUGGCUCAGAGUCACCCAGCUCAUUAGAGCCUGAAUGAACCACCUUGGUUCACUACCUCUGUUCACCGCCCUUUCUAGUGCACUUCAUGAAAUCACUCUCUAAGUACACAUCAACUCAUUUAGAUACUUAAAUGAUUCUUGAGAAAGUAGAAAGUAUAAAUGCCUUGACCACACAUAAGAACUUUGACAUAUUUCACUCUCUGUACUGAAAUUUCUAACAAUGCCUGGUACAUAAUAGGUAUUCAGUUGAUUUGGGUUUCUACAUCCCUUUUCUCCUUCUCUUCUUCAAGUUUGCAUGUAAACCACAUUAAAGACUGCUAAUAUAUAAAGUAGGCACCAUCUCAUGAAUCAAAGAGGGGAUUCCUAGAGCCACUGAGGAUGUCUUUAGAAGCCAGUGGUGCUGAUCCCACAGCUACUCUCCUGUGGACAGUGGAAGUGCUCCCCAAAGUACAUUCUUAGGGGAAAUGGGGCUGCCGCCAUGAGGAGGUGUCAAUAGAGAUUAGAGAUGGUCUUUGUGCUGUGAGAGAGACCUCACAUUUCCAAAUGCCAAGUCCUUUCUUCCUCAGUCAAAUGUACCCCCUAGAACAUAGAUACCUACUAAGCUGUAGAUUUUUGAGGGGAUACAGAGCUGAAUCCAUAAGAUAGUGGAUUAUUCAGAUAAGAAUUUCUGUAGAUAGAGAGUUUCCAAUCAAUUAUGUACCCCAACAAUGUGAGGUCAACUACUUAGACUACCUCUUAGCUUCUACAUUUAGAUGUUUCAAAGUCUGUUCUGAUCCUUAAAUUUGACACUUCUCUUUAAUAUAAACAAAGCCCUUUUAGUAUUCUUUGGGAUUAGCUUACCACUUAAUAAAUUCCUUCCAACACUAUCUUCUGUGAGUCAACAAACAGCUUCCUCCUGUGAUUUGGGCCUGGCUAACAACAAGUUAGACUUCAGACGAAUAAUUACUAGGCUGAGGCAUUUUCCAGGUGGUACAUUCCCACUUUGAGGAAACUUGGUCAUUUUACUUUUGCAUUUAAGAUGUCCUUAGGCUGAAAAUAAAGUGUCAGUGUUUGAAAUGUCCUUCUCUGUAUCAUUGACUUGAUUUUUAGAUAAUAUUUCAGGCUGGACUGACACCAAAAGUGCUUUUCAAAAACACAUGAAAAGACCAAAAUUAUUUAAAUAAUUUACAAUAUAUGAAAGGUAGUAAAUUCUAGGCAAACAUUUUAACUAGGUUUUUAUGGAGAACUGACAGUGAGUAGCUUUGUGCUGAACCCUGUGUAAGGCAUUAAAUGAUGCACUCGUGUAAUUAUUUUCCCUAAAUUAAUGCCUGUCCCUGACACAUCUUAGACUUUUCCACCCUUGCCCUAAAUAACUUAAUUAAAAAAAAAAAUUCUCCCAGCUAA
rnacentral:lncRNA from 1 species